GGUCAAAUGAACUAAGGCGUACGGCGGAGACCUAGGCACUCAGAGACGAUGAAGGGCGCAGAUACCGGCGAAACGCUUCGGGGAGCUGGCAACAAGCUUUGAUCCGAAGAUCCCCGAAUAGGGCAACCUCUAUAGAACUUCCUAUACAAUUCAUAGUUAGGGAAGAGGCAACCCAGUGAACUGAAACAUCUAAGUAGCUGGAGGAAAAGAAAGCAAACGCGAUUCCCGUAGUAGCGGCGAGCGAACCGGGAUCAGCCUAAACCAGUUUUAAAAACUGGUGUAGUGGGAGGACUUAAAAAAAAUUAAAAAUAAUAGACGAAGCAGCUGAAUCCUGCACCAUAGAUGGUGAAAGUCCGGUAGUCUAAAUUAUUUUAUUUUUUGUCAAAUCCCGAGUAGCAUGGGACACGUGAAAUCCCGUGUGAAUCCGCGAGGACCACCUCGUAAGGCUAAAUACUCCUGAGUGACCGAUAGCGAAAUAGUACAGUGAUGGAACGGUGAAAAGAACCCCUGUGGGGGAGUGAAAUAGAACAUGAAACCGUACGCUGACAAGCAGUGGGAGGGUUGAAAAUGCCUGACCGCGUGCCUAUUGAAGAAUGAGCCGGCGACUUAUAGGGAGUGGCUUGGUUAAGGAGUUAAAUCCGGAGCCGAAGCGAAAGCAAGUCUGAAUAGGGCAAAGUAUAAUCGUCACUUCUUAUGGACCCGAACCCGGGUGAUCUAAUCAUGACCAGAUUGAAGCAUGGGUCACACCUUGUGGAGGAUCGAACACACCAAUGUUGAAAAAUUGGGUGAUGAGUUGUGAUUAGGGGAGAAAUUCCAAUCGAACUCGGAGCUAGCUGGAUCUCCCCGAAAUGCGUUGAGGCGCAGCGGUCACGAUGAGCUGUCUAGGGGUAAAGCUACUGUUUCGAUGCGGGCUGCGAAAGUGGUACCAAGUCGUGGCAAACUCAGAAUACUAGGCAAAGCCUUCCGUGAGCCAGUGAGUGAUGGGGCGAUAAGGUUCUGUCACAAAAGGGAAACAGCCCAGAUCACCAGCUAAGGCCCCAAAAUGGUCACUAAGUGGAAAAGGAUGUGAAAAUGCUAAAACAACCAGGAGGUUUGCUUAGAAGCAGCCACCCUUCAAAGAGUGCGUAAUAGCUCACUGGUAAAGCGUUCUUGCGCCGACAAUGGCCGGGACUAAGUGACCUGCCGAAGCUGUGAUAUAAAUAAUUUUUAUUUAUAGGUAGGGGAGCGUUCCACUUUGGGUGAAGUCUUUAUGGGAAUAAGGAUGGACAAAGCGGAAGUGAGAAUGUCGGCUUGAGUAACGAAAACAUUGGUGAGAAUCCAAUGCCCCGAAAACCUAAGGGUUCCUCCACUAGGUUCGUCCGUGGGGGGUGAGUCAGGACCUAAGGCGAGGCCGAAAGGCGUAGUCGAUGGUAAACAGGUUAAUAUUCCUGUACUUAUUCUAUUGUUGAACAGAGGGACGAAGGAGGCUAAACUAGGUCUGACUAUGGAUUGCAGUGGAAGCGUUUAGGCGUUGAUAGGUAGAAGAAAAGCUAUCCUUGAGCUAAGGCGUGAUCCCUAAAGACGGCUUCGGUUGUUUUUAGCUAGUGAUGCCAAACUUCCAAGAAAAGCUCUAACAUUUUAGAUAGAAUAACCUGUACCUGAAACCGACACAGGUAGGUUAGUAGAGAAUACUAAGGGGCGCGAGAGAACUCUCUCUAAGGAACUCGGCAAAUUGGCCCCGUAACUUCGGAAGAAGGGGCGCCUUUGAAAAAAGGUCGCAGUGACCAGGCCCAAGCAACUGUUUAUCAAAAACACAGGUCUCCGCAAAGUCGUAAGACAAUAUAUGGGGGCUGACGCCUGCCCAGUGCCGGAAGGUUAAGGAAGUUGGUUAGGGUGUAAACUCGAAGCUGACGACCGAAGCCCCGGUGAACGGCGGUCGUAACUAUAACGAUCCUAAGGUAGCGAAAUUCAUUGCCAAGUAAGUUUUGGCCCGCACGAAAGGCGUAAUGAUUUGGGCACUGUCUCGGAGAGAGGCUCGGUGAAAUAGACUUGUUCGUGAAGAUGCGGACUACCUACACCUGGACAGAAAGACCCUAUGAAGCUUGACUGUAUCCUGGAAUUGGGUUUGGGCUUUUCUUGCGCAGCCUAGGUGGGAGGCUAUGAGUAGUACGUUCCGGCGUGCUAGGAGCCAUCAUUGAGAGACCACUCUGGAAGAGCUAGAAUCCUAAUGGCGAUCCUUGAAUCAGGACGCUUGACAGUUUCAGGUGGGCAGUUUGUUUGGGGCGAACACCUCCUAAAAGGUAACGGAGGUGUGCAAAGGUUCCCUCAGCCUGGACGGAAAUCAGGCAUUGAGUGUAAAAGCAAAAGGGGGCUUGACUGCAAGACCUACAAGUCGAGCAGGGGCGAAAGCCGGCUUUAGUGAUCCGACGGUUCCGUGUGGAAGGGCCGUCGCUCAACGGAUAAAAGUUACUCUAGGGAUAACAGGCUGAUCUUCCCCAAGAGUCCACAUCGACGGGAAGGUUUGGCACCUCGAUGUCGGCUCAUCACAUCCUCGGUCUGCAGUAGGUCCGAAGGGUUGGGCUGUUCGCCCAUUAAAGUGGUACGUGAGCUGGGUUCAAAACGUCGUGAGACAGUUUGGUCCAUAUCCGGUGUAAGCGUUAGAAUAUUGAGGGGUGCCUUUCUUAGUACGAGAGGAUUGGAAAGGACAUGCCUAUGGUGUACCUGUUCUCGCUCCAGCGGGAAACGCAGGGUAGCUACGCAUGGUUUGAGCAGCGCUGACAGCAUAUAAGUGCGAAGCAUUCCCCAAGAUGAAUAUUCUCCAUUAGGCCGCGGGUAGACAAUCCGUUCGAUAGGUAUCACGUGUAAGAGCAGCAAUGCUUUAAGCUUAGAUAUACUAAAGGCCAAUUGAUUUUGACC
rnacentral:rRNA from 1 species